UGGAGAGUUUGAUCCUGGCUCAGGACGAACGCUGGCGGCGUGCCUAAUACAUGCAAGUCGAGCGGACCGACGGGAGCUUGCUCCCUUAGGUCAGCGGCGGACGGGUGAGUAACACGUGGGUAACCUGCCUGUAAGACUGGGAUAACUCCGGGAAACCGGGGCUAAUACCGGAUGCUUGAUUGAACCGCAUGGUUCAAUCAUAAAAGGCGGCUUCGGCUGCCGUUUACAGAUGGACCCGCGGCGCAUUAGCUAGUUGGUGAGGUAAUGGCUCACCAAGGCGACGAUGCGUAGCCGACCUGAGAGGGUGAUCGGCCACACUGGGACUGAGACACGGCCCAGACUCCUACGGGAGGCAGCAGUAGGGAAUCUUCCGCAAUGGACGAAAGUCUGACGGAGCAACGCCGCGUGAGUGAUGAAGGUUUUCGGAUCGUAAAGCUCUGUUGUUAGGGAAGAACAAGUACCGUUCGAAUAGGGCGGUACCUUGACGGUACCUAACCAGAAAGCCACGGCUAACUACGUGCCAGCAGCCGCGGUAAUACGUAG
rnacentral:rRNA from 1 species